GAUCUUGCUGUAAACAUUUGUAACGCUAUCUUCUUCACUUUAACUCUGUUUUCACCUGGCAACAAAAAGCAGCACCACUGCACCCUCAAAAACACCAUUACUACUAGCUCCAAACCACAGCACCAACCAAUCCCAAGCCUCAUCAGCACCAUAACCGCCCAAGCCCCAACAUCGUUACACAACCUCACCCCCUAAUCCGACCACCAACACCAACACCAACGAAAGUCUCACAGCCCACGACUAAAAUCCCAAAAAAUCUAUCACCAAAAAUCAACAACACCCCCGAAUUUUUUUGGUGGGUAGAUGUGGAGUGUUGACUGUAGAAAUUGAGCAUGCUGAUGUGGCGACAUUAGAGAAGUUAGAACAACAAGGGGUGAAUUGUCAACCCAAAGCCUCUACUAUCCGAAUUAUAUAGCCUGCGUCGAAUUUGGAUGCUUUUGUGCAGAAUUUAAUUUUGCUUUUGUGGACAAUUGCCUUCUUUUUUUUUCUUUUUUUUUUAUAGUAGUUUUUGGUUAAUCUUUUGAAUCUAUUCUUGUAGUUACUCUUCUUUGUUUGUAAGUUUUUUACCCCUUUUUGCUAACUAUGUGGACUUUUUGAUCUACUAAUUUGGUAAUCCAUAGAUAUUUUGUUGUGAGAAUUGUGGUAGUGAUAAAUUAAUCUAGGUUAAAUACAAUUAUCUUUAUUAAGAUAUUUCAUUUUUAUAUUUUCUUGUAAUGAAACAGACCGAUAGGUAGUUUGAUUUUUUUUUUUAUUCAAACAAUUAUCAACUCUGUUUUUGUGAUAAAAUUUGUAUUUUUGGACUAUAUUUUACCUUUUUCAGGAUAAAUUUCUCCAGAAAGUUCAUUUUUCACGUCAUGGCAUUCCACUUCCUGAUUUUAUGCAGGUUAGCCACAACUUUUAAGAAUUUGGCCCAAGGAUUUAGUUACCAAUUCACACUUUUCUUUGUCCUUGAAAAUGUUAGCUUUAGGAUAUCCUUUUUUUUUUUUUAUAUUUUUUUAUCUAGUAAUAUUAAAAAUACGGCAUAGACAGAUAUAUGAUUUUGAAAGUGCGAAGAGAGCUGGCGAACUAUUUGGCUAUCCUCUAAUGAUAAAGAGCAGGAGGCUUGCUUAUGAUGGGCAUGGAAACGCUGCUGCUAAGAGUGAAGAGGAGACCGCUUCUGCAGCAAAUGUCCUUGGAGGCUAUGAUCGUGCAUUAUAUGUUGAGAAAUGGGCUCCAUUUGUAAAGGUUUACUUCAACUAUGUGCCUUUAAUUUAUCAAACCAUCUGGACAUGCCUAUUCUGAGUUCUUGGACCGCAUAAAGAAUUGGUUUUAUGUGACAAUUGCAUUGACUAUGGCUAGAUUGCAAAGGAGACUCCAGAGAUAAAUGGUCUAUGUUGCAAGCAAUCUUCAGCUCAUUGGUCUCAAGAUCUAUCUAUAUGGAAGCUGGGCUACACCUGAGAGAGACAAGAGCGGGGAUUUGGGAGCAUACAAUGCGGAGUUAUCAGCACUAACUGUUACUAGGCCCUCUAUGUAUUGCUUGAAGGGAUGAAAUAACUUGAUAAAUUUUUUUUUUUUCAUGUGUAAUUAUAUUUUGGAUUGUAUGUUUGGAAGGAUUGUGUGUUUGUUUUUGCAAUCCAGUGUGUGUUUGGAAGGAUUGCAAUAAAAUGUUUGUAAUUAUCCAGUUAAUUUUAUAAACUAUUGAGCAUGA